rnacentral:rRNA from 1 species
UGGGGAAUAUUGCACAAUGGGCGCAAGCCUGAUGCAGCCAUGCCGCGUGUAUGAAGAAGGCCUUCGGGUUGUAAAGUACUUUCAGCGAGGAGGAAGGCGGUAAGGUUAAUAACCUUAUCGAUUGACGUUACUCGCAGAAGAAGCACCGGCUAACUCCGUGCCAGCAGCCGAGGUAAUACGGAGGGUGCAAGCGUUAAUCGGAAUUACUGGGCGUAAAGCGCACGCAGGCGGUCUGUCAAGUCGGAUGUGAAAUCCCCGGGCUCAACCUGGGAACUGCAUUCGAAACUGGCAGGCUAGAGUCUUGUAGAGGGGGGUAGAAUUCCAGGUGUAGCGGUGAAAUGCGUAGAGAUCUGGAGGAAUACCGGUGGCGAAGGCGGCCCCCUGGACAAAGACUGACGCUCAGGUGCGAAAGCGUGGGGAGCAAACA